AGCUGAGUACCCUGUGCAGUG
rnacentral:misc_RNA from 1 species